GGCCCGCACAAGCGGUGGAGCAUGUGGUUUAAUUCGAAGCAACGCGCAGAACCUUACCCAGUCUUGACAUCCUUGGACAACCAUAGAGAUAUGGCCUUCCCCUUUACGGGGGACCAAGUGACAGGUGCUGCACGGCUGUCGUCAGCUCGUGUCGUGAGAUGUUCGGUUAAGUCCGGUAACGAGCGCAACCCCUAUCGUUAGUUGCCAUCAUUCAGUUGGGCACUUUAGCGAGACUCCCGGUGUUAAACCGGCGGAAGAUGGGGACGACGUCAAGUCAUCAUGGCCCUUACGACUGGGGCUACACACGUACUACAAUGGCGACUACAAAGGGUAGCGAGACUGUGAAGUGGAGCCAAUCCCAAAAAGUCGCCUCAGUUCGGAUUGUAGUCUGCAACUCGACUACAUGAAGUUGGAAUCGCUAGUAAUCG
rnacentral:rRNA from 1 species